rnacentral:misc_RNA from 1 species
GCCAGAUCAAGCCAAAAAGAAUUCAACCGAAGUGGAGUUCUUUUCUGAUUAUGGCGAUGCGAGUAGAUACAAAAUUCAGGAAGUAAUCGGGAAAGGAAGCUAUGGGGUUGUCUGUUCCGCAAUUGACACCCGCACCGGCGACAAGGUUGCAAUAAAGAAGAUACAUAAUAUUUUUGAGCAUAUAUCUGACGCGGUUAGAAUUCUUCGUGAGAUAAAGCUGCUUAGACUUCUUCGCCAUCCUGAUAUUGUUGAAAUUAAACACAUUAUG